rnacentral:rRNA from 1 species
UACGGAGGGAGCUAGCGUUGUCCGGAAUUAUUGGGCGUAAAGGGCUCGUAGGCGGCCUGUUGCGUCGGGAGUGAAAACUUACAGCUUAACUGUGGGCUUGCUUUCGAUACGGGCAGACUUGAGGCAUGCAGGGGAGAACGGAAUUCCUGGUGUAGCGGUGAAAUGCGCAGAUAUCAGGAGGAACACCGGUGGCGAAGGCGGUUCUCUGGGCAUGUUCUGACGCUGAGGAGCGAAAGUGUGGGGAGCGAACAGG